rnacentral:rRNA from 1 species
AUUGAACGCUGGCGGAAUGCUUUACACAUGCAAGUCGAACGGCAGCACGGGGGCAACCCUGGUGGCGAGUGGCGAACGGGUGAGUAACACAUCGGAACGUGCCCAAUCGUGGGGGAUAACGUAGCGAAAGCUACGCUAAUACCGCAUACGAUCUACGGAUGAAAGCGGGGGAUCGCAAAACCUCGCGCGAAUGGAGCGGCCGAUGGCAGAUUAGGUAGUUGGUGAGGUAAAGGCUCACCAAGGCGACGAUCUGUAGCGGGUCUGAGAGGAUGAUUUGCCACACUGGAACUGAGACACGGUCCAGACUCCUACGGGAGGCAGCAGUGGGGAAUUUUGGGACAAUGGGGGCAACCCUGAUCCAGCCAUGCCGCGUGAGUGAAGAAGGCCUGGUUGUAAG